UACGGAGGGGACUAGCGUUGUUCGGAAUUACUGGGCGUAAAGGGCGCGUAGGCGGCUGAGCAAGUCGACUGUGAAAUCCCUGGGCUUAACCCAGGAAGUGCAGUUGAUACUGCUCAACUUGAGUCCCGGAGAGGGUGGUGGAAUUCCCAGUGUAGAGGUGAAAUUCGUAGAUAUUGGGAGGAACACCGGUGGCGAAGGCGACCACCUGGACGGAGACUGACGCUGAGGCGCGAAAGCGUGGGGAGCAAACAGG
rnacentral:rRNA from 1 species